CUUACGCCAGUGUCACCACACAUGGGAGAAAUGGCCGCUAGGAUGUCACUAGAUGACAGACACUUUCAUCUCCAUUGCAAUCUUACAAGGCCACCAUUGUACAUGGGGUCCAUCACUGGCUAACAGGCGGGGACGCAGCACAUGGUCCAUCACCGUCUAACAGGAGGGGAUGCAGCACAUGGUCCAUCACCAUCUAACAGGCGGGGACGCAGCACAUGGUCCAUCACUAACAGGAGGGGAUGCAGCACAUGGUCCAUCACUGGCUAACAGGCGGGGAUGCAGCACAUGGUCCAUUACUGGCUAACAGGCGGGGAUGCAGCUCAUGGUCCAUCACUAACAGGCGGGGAUGCAGCACAUGGUCCAUCACUGGCUAACAGGAGGGGACGCAGCACAUGGUCCAUCACUGGCUAACAGGCGGGGAUGCAGCACAUGGUCCAUUACUGGCUAACAGGCGGGGAUGCAGCUCAUGGUCCAUCACUAACAGGAGGGGACGCAGCACAUGGUCCAUCAUUGGCUAACAGGAGGGUAUGCAGCACAUGGUCCAUCACUGGCUAACAGGCGGGGAUGCAGCACAUGGUCCAUCACUGGCUAACAGGCGGGGAUGCAGCACAUGGUCCAUCACUGGCUAACAGGCGGGGAUGCAGCACAUGGUCCAUCACUGGCUAACAGGCGGGGAUGCAGCACAUGGUCCAUCACUGGCUAACAGGCGAGGAUGCAGCUCAUGGUCCAUCACUGGCUAACAGGCGGGAAUGCAGCACAUGGUCCAUUACUGGCUAACAGGUGGGGAUGCAGCUCAUGGUCCAUCACUAACAGGCGGGGAUGCAGCACAUGGUCCAUCACUGGCUAACAGGCGGGGAUGCAGCACAUGGUCCAUCACUAACAGGAGGGGAUGCAGCACAUGGUCCAUCACUGGCUAACAGGAGGGGAUGCAGCACAUGGUCCAUUACUGGCUAACAGGAGGGGAUGCAGCACAUGGUCCAUCACCGGUUAAUAGGCAGGGAUGCAGCACAUGGUCCAUCACCGGUUAAUAGGCGGGGAUGCAGCACAUGGUCCAUCACUGGCUAACAGGCGGGGAUGCAGCACAUGGUCCAUCACUGGCAAACAGGCGAGGAUACAGCACAUGGUCCAUCACCAGCUAACAGGAAGGGACGCAGCACAUGGUCCAUCACUGUCUAACAGGAGCGGAUGCAGCACAUGGUCCAUCACUGGCUAACAGGCGGGGAUGCAGCACAUGGUCCAUCACCAGUUAACAGGCGGGGAUGCAGCACAUGGUCCAUCACCGGUUAAUAGGCGGGGAUGCAGCACAUGGUCCAUCACUGGCUAACAGGCGGGGAUGCAGCACAUGGUCCAUCACUGGCAAACAGGCGAGGAUACAGCACAUGGUCCAUCACCAGCUAACAGGAGGGGACGCAGCACAUGGUCCAUCACCGUCUAACAGGAGUGGAUGCAGC
rnacentral:lncRNA from 10 species